GGCAGCAUCCAUCCAACCACCUAUGUCAGCAUCACCUUCGGCACUUCUUCAAACACAGAUUUGAAGGUCCAGUCAACAAAUAUCCACCACUAACUAUAUGGCCUUAGGCAAGCUUGUUUGAAUUCCUGUGUGUCCAGAUGAAGAUGACAACACUGGCAACAUCUACUAGAGGCCUCAAAAUCAGCCAGUGGUGAGAGAUGGAGACUCUCUCCUUUCCUGAGC